rnacentral:rRNA from 1 species
UACGUAGGGAGCAAGCGUUGUCCGGAAUUAUUGGGCGUAAAGCGCGCGCAGGCGGUCCUUUAAGUCUGAUGUGAAAGCCCACGGCUCAACCGUGGAGGGUCAUUGGAAACUGGGGGGACUUGAGUGCAGGAGAGAAGAGUGGAAUUCCACGUGUAGCGGUGAAAUGCGUAGAGAUCGGGAAGAACAUCAGUGGCGAAGGCGGUCUGCUGGGCCGUUGCUGACGCUGGAGGCGCGACAGCGUGGGGGAGCAAACAGG